UUGACACUUUAUAAAUAUUACCUAUUUAAUCGUUACAGCAAUCUUUAAUAUUGGUAUCCUUAUUUACAAAGAAAAUGAGUGCAGAAAGGACAAGUAGUUUUCGUGAAACCACUUGGAAGUGGAGGAGAAGGGUUUUGAACUCCCAUCAUCUCAAGCUCAUGCUUUGCCAUCUCACCACAGUGAAAUGAUGGAAAACUCAAGUCUGCAAACCUUAAAUUUUCAAUCAAAGGGAGGAAACCUUGGGCAAAUGAAGAGGUCAUGGAUAUGAUAUGAAAAUAUUUUAUGAUUUUGCAUGUGAGAAGCUACUGCAUAGAUGAAUUCAACUGCAGGAUCCCUUUUAAAAAAUAUGUAUCUUCAAGAUUGAGUGUGAGCCUUCACAAACUCCUCCUUGUAUCUUAAGUCUGCUGGAGUACUGGCCUGACUCCACUCACUCACUGUGUACUUCGUUUGAAACUAACAAACAAUACAGUGACUGUCAGUAGAUGUUGCCUCCUCAGUCUACAGAGCCAACAAAAAUUAUGGAAAAGUAAGUUACUUCACUGGAGUUUGAGAUGUAAAUUCUGAAUU
rnacentral:lncRNA from 10 species